AGAAUCAACGCUGGCGGCGUGCCUAACACAUGCAAGUCGAACGCGAAAGUGGAGCAAUCCAUUAGUAGAGUGGCAAACGGGUGAGUAACACGUGGGCGACCUACCUCAGAGUGGGGGAUAACCUUCCGAAAGGAGGGCUAAUACCGCAUGACAUCCCGUGUUUGGAUACACGGAGAUCAAAGCCGGGGAUCGUAAGACCUGGCGCUUGGAGAGGGGCCCGCGUCCGAUUAGCUAGUUGGUGAGGUAACGGCUCACCAAGGCUCCGAUCGGUA
rnacentral:rRNA from 1 species